ensembl:snoRNA snoZ196 Small nucleolar RNA Z196/R39/R59 family
UGGCUCUGAAUGAUGAGUAACCAAUUACCAUCUUUCGGCUGA